AACGCGAAGAACCUUACCAGGUCUUGACAUGUACAGUAUGGUUCCCGGAAAGGGGAACCUUCAGUUUGGCUGGCUGUACACAGGUGCUGCAUGGCUGUCGUCAGCUCGUGUCGUGAGAUGUUGGGUUAAGUCCCGCAACGAGCGCAACCCUCAUCCUUAGUUGCCAACAGGUUAAGCUGGGAACUCUAAGGAAACUGCCGGUGAUAAGCCGGAGGAAGGUGGGGAUGACGUCAAGUCUUCAUGGUCCUUACGACCUGGGCUACACACGUGCUACAAUGGCGGUGACAAUGGGGAGCCAACCCGCAAGGGUGCGCAAAUCUCAAAAAGCCGUCUCAGUUCGGAUUGCACUCUGCAACUCGAGUGCAUGAAGCUGGAAUCGCUAGUAAUCGUAGAUCAGCAUGCUACGGUGAAUACGUUCCCGGGCCUUGUACACACCGCACGA
rnacentral:rRNA from 1 species